AGUUGUAAGGCACAACAAGCCCAAGUCAACCAACCACCAUGCACCACGAUGUGGACAUGAUGUGGCAGUCACACAGCAUGUCUCCCACAUGUCCCACGUCUCUCAUGUCUCUCUACCCCUAUUCCAACCAAGCAACUCUCCCAUAGUUCCCUUGUACUUAGCCUAAGUAACAGGCCAGAGCCAUGUUACAAGGCCUUUCCUUUAUAAAGCCUACCCUAUUGGUAACAUUUGCUCUCUGCCCAAGGAAGAGCUUUAUUUGCUGCAGAAGAUCCAAUGCUCUGUUGUCAAAACAGGUUUCUUCUUCACCUGCAGUUUAGUGCAUUAGCAAAGCAGAGUCUGCAAGGAUAAACCACUGGAUUUCCAGCAUGACUUUCCCCUGUUCCUAUAUCACUAAGGUAAAAUAUAUUUUAACCUUUGUUGGUUUUCUUUUUCCUUCUCAGCAAUCAACCAGCACCUGCACAAAUUUCAGAGAAAGCAAGACAACAAUUUAUCUGAAACUUUAUGAUUAUGCCUGACAUUAUGCUCUGCCUACAGACACCUGGAGCAGGUGACACAGGAGCAUGUCCAGGUGGGUUUGGAAUGUCUCCAGACAGGGAGGCUCCAGGCCCUCCCUGGGCAGCUGUUCCAGGGCUCUGCCACCCGAGUGUGCCGAAAAUCUUCCUCAUGCUGAGGUGGAACUUCUUGUGUUUAGUUUAUGUCCAUUGCUCCUCAUGCUGUCCCUGGGCACCACUGAACAGAUCCUGGCACCAUCUCCAAACCCAUAUUCAAGAUGCUUGCAUGUAUUGAUGAGAUUCUUUUUCAGUCUUCUCUGGUGCCAGUGGUGAAACUCCUGUGUCAGGAAGGGAGCCAGCACCAAGGCCUGACCCGUCAGGAAGCUGUUCAGUUGUGGCAGCUGCACUAUGGCAGCAGUUUAGGUCACGUGUGUCCUCUGUCCCCCAGAUUAGUUCCUUGGGAGGUCAGCCGAGCUCCAGAGCUUGUGGCACACAGACCUUGGCAGAUAGGCCGAGGCCUUUCCCUGCCUCCAGGCCGUGCUGGUCCUGAGGGCCUUCCUGAGGAGGAACCUUAUGAAAAUUUACCUGAGAGCAGCUGAAAAAGGCUAGUCUGACACCUUUUCCUGUGAAUGGGACACAGACAGGAUCCCCACAGUACCAGGAAGCACCCAACACUCUUACACUCUAUGUGAUGCCAGGCUUUGACCUUGGCAAAGGAGAAACUACUGAUAAGAGUGGCCAGAUAACAGAAACUAUGCCAGAGAACUGUGACAGAGUUUGAAUAAGAGAGCACUGUUUCUUGGAAACUGCUGGAAACACUCAAGUCCCCUUCCUUUGGGCUGAAACUCAGCAGAAAGACUGAGAGCCCUCUUGCUGGAGUGGCAGGAGCUGCUGGUUAAAACUGAGAGUGGAGCCCAGCCACCAGUCCCUCAUCGUGACUUCGAUGGAUAAUUAGUCAGGUUAUCUGAUAUAAUUACACAACAUUCAAGUGCAGGAGUGCAGGAAGAAGUGAUAAAAUCAAGAACAGCUUUAAUGAGGCCAGAAAAGGAAGAAAAAUGGAGUCAACUCAGGGGAACUUCAAGGUCCUUUUGGUGCUAUUCAAGCAAAUAAAUGGGAAUACUGCUAAAACAGAAGAAGCUGGGUGGAGUCAGAAGGUUGAUUUGGAACUAGCAGAGCAUUCAGUGGUUUCAGCAGGGAGCCUUAAAGUUAGAUGGUGUCAGGAACACACGGAGCUGGAUGUUCCCGUGGACUCCUGACUGCUCUUACCUCUCCACAUGGCAGGAAACAGAAGGUGAUGUUUCCAAAGGAACUGACGUACAACCUUGGAAGUCUGUCUCCUGGUUCUAUUGAGAUGAUAGCUAUGGAGUAAACCAAUCCUUCCCCUUCUUCCUCCUCUUGAUACUGUUUAUCCAAACAGAGCUUUAACUAUAUCUCCCUGUUUUAACUACAUCAUGAACUGAAAUGAAGGCACUUGCUAUACUGUGGCAAAUGAAGGUGAUCUGUGUGAUCUUCCAAUGCAGAGUGUUUUUCUCCAUUAAAUUUUUCCUGUUCCUGAGAUGAAUUUCAUUGUCUGAUAUUUUUUUUUUUAUUGCUACUCCUGUAUCUUACAAACCCUUAUUGAAAGGGUUUGAUGUUGGGCUUCCCUAGAUAAAGCACAGAGAAUCUGUGUUGGACAAAAUCACUGAAUUCAUUGUGCGUGAUCCUCUCUGAAGA